AGGAGCCCACGGCUUCUGAGGAAAGGAUUUGGAAGCUGGCUGGUCACGCCCCUUUCUCGGGGUCUCUCUCGGCCCCUCCUCCUGUCCGAGGUGGAGAAAGCUAGGGGAGGAAGGGGGGAAAUGGGGUGGGGCUCUCUAAUUUAUGCGCCUGCGUGGGAUGAGGUGUGUGGAGUCUUUCUCUCCGCUAAGACUGAGAACCAUUGUGGCUUACCACAGAGUUGGCCUUAGAUCCAGGAAGACCUGAGUUCAACUCCCAGCUUUGACAAUUUGACCAUGGGCAAAUCACUCUACACCUGAAAGCUCCUGGCAACUCUUAAGACUAUUAAUUGCUCAGAAAGUAACAACUUGCACUGAUUGGAAGCUCCUGGAAGACAGUGACCAACUCUUAAUAUUUUGAUUGACUGAUAGUAUGGAAUGUUACUUAUAAAGGAAUGUGACAAAGUAGUAGAAUAUUGCAGCGUUUUAUGAUAUGACAUACAGAAAAGCAUAAAAAGAUCUAUAAGAACUGAUGUGAAGAACACAAUACACAUGAAAACUACAACAAUGUAAAUGGAAAAAACAAGGAAGAUGGGAACAGUGCUUCAAAAUUAUAAUAAACAAGCUUAGCCCCAAAGAAAAAGUAGAAGACACCUCUCCUGUGUCUGCAGAACUAGGGGACCGUAGGUAUGCAAUACUAAUGUCAGGCAUUUCCUAUGUGGUGGUUAGUUUUGCUGAACUUAUUUUUGUUUCUUCUUAUUUUAAGGGAGAGUUCUUCUAGAAGGGGUUAUAGGAAGAGAUACAGUGGGAAAUAUAGUUGAUAUAAAAAAAAGAUUUCAAUAAAAUCUAUUUUGUUGAAAGAAAAUUCACAUGCAUACCAAGCAUUUCCAUUUAAUCUUUAUUUAGCUCCAAAAUAAAAUGCAAAGCAGCACCAGCCAUCUCAUUAUAUUUGGUAUAAAAAAUGAGCAAAUAUAACUUAUAUAGUGGGAAUCAAUGUCUUACCUAUACACAUUUUAGUAUUUUUCUAAUAUAUGUAGAUCUUAUUGUGAUGAUAAAAUACAAAUUUAUUCAAAAGCUUAAAAAAAUGUGAUAUGUCUUAAAAACUAUGCCAGGACUUGUACAUGCAAAUGAUUUUUGUCCCUCAAUCUGUGUGCCUAGAAGUUUCCCCUUAUAUGAACUGCACAAGUAUUACUGAAAACACAUAAUUUGUUUCUGUCAGUCUUCACCUAUUUCUAAUUACUCAGACUCAGUCUCUGUAAAAGUUUGCUUUCGUUAAGUUUUUAGUUCUAGGUCAGACAACUUGAUUAACUGACAUUGAUUUUCGUUGUUUGUUAUUUGGCUUAUCGGUAGUAAGCAUCAUGUAAGAUGGAAAUAAAAUGUAGCAUAGUAAAA